AAGAAUUCCUAGGCCAAGGGAAGCAGUUUCAGAAACAACUCUCCAAGUUCCAUUUCCAAGGAAAGUCUUAACCAUUUGUCCCUUCUGGCGUACCCUCUUUCAUUGAAAUCCAUGCAGAAUAUACCAGAGAUGGGCAGUAGCGAACCCCUUCCCAUCGCAGAUGGUGUCAGGAGGAGGAAGAAGAAGCGGAGGGCCCGGGCCACUGACUCCUUGCCAGGAAAAUUUGAAGAUAUGUACAAGCUGACCUCUGAAUUGCUUGGAGAGGGAGCCUAUGCCAAAGUUCAAGGUGCCGUGAGCCUACAGAAUGGCAAAGAGUAUGCCGUCAAAAUCAUCGAGAAACAAGCAGGGCACAGUCGGAGUAGGGUGUUUCGAGAGGUGGAGACACUGUAUCAGUGUCAGGGAAACAAGAACAUUUUGGAGCUGAUUGAGUUCUUUGAAGAUGACACAAGGUUUUACUUGGUCUUUGAGAAAUUGCAAGGAGGUUCCAUCUUAGCCCACAUCCAGAAGCAAAAGCACUUCAAUGAGCGAGAAGCCAGCCGA
rnacentral:sRNA from 1 species